rnacentral:tRNA from 1 species
UGAAUAGCUCAACUGGUAGAGCAGUUGACUCUUAAUCAAUUGGUUCAGGGUUCGAGUCCCUGUU